rnacentral:rRNA from 16 species
GAAGAAGGCUUUCGGGUUGUAAAGCACUUUCAGCGAGGAGGAAGGCUCUAAAGCUAAUACCUUUAGGGAUUGACGUUACUCGCAGAAGAAGCACCGGCUAACUCCGUGCCAGCAGCCGCGGUAAUACGGAGGGUGCAAGCGUUAAUCGGAAUUACUGGGCGUAAAGCGCGCGUAGGUGGUUUGAUAAGCGAGAUGUGAAAGCCCCGGGCUUAACCUGGGAACGGCAUUUCGAACUGUCAGGCUAGAG